rnacentral:rRNA from 1 species
UACGGGGGGAGCAAGCGUUGUUCGGGAUUACUGGGCGUAAAGGGCGCGUAGGCGGCCUGCUAAGUCGAACGUGAAAUCCCCGGGCUCAACCCGGGAACUGCGUCCGAUACUGACAGGCUCGAAUCCGGGAGAGGGAUGUGGAAUUCCAGGUGUAGCGGUGAAAUGCGUAGAUAUCUGGAGGAACACCGGUGGCGAAGGCGGCAUCCUGGACCGGUAUUGACGCUGAGGCGCGAAAGCCAGGGGAGCAAACGGG